GCCCUCGUAGCCCAAUGGUAGGGCGUCAGACUUCUACUCCCCGAAGUCGGCAAAAGUAGAUCUGAAGGUUGCGGGUUCGAGUCCCGCCGGGGGUA
rfam:Emmonsia sp. CAC-2015a strain CBS 136260 supercont2.668, whole genome shotgun sequence.